CCCUCAACACCGUCGGUCCACUAUAGGUCACCGCACCGCCAGCCGUCGUCGGUGCUGGUAGUAGCUUACAACCACAAUAACGCAACCAUUGGAUGCACAAUGACAUGCUAAGCACGAAUAUGGCAGCGAAUUUGGGAAACAGUCACGAAAUUGGUCGAGUCGAGCCUAAACGAUGGAAGAAUCCUAGGUCUCUAACCUUAAAUUAAAUGGAGUUUAUCACGAAUUGAUCUCUAAUAUCAUAGGGCUUUCACUCCCUUGCCUCAAAGCUAUGCUCUAUUACGCUAAAUUCAAGAAAAUAUUACAGAAGAUAUAUGGACGUACCGGAGAAGACGAUCAGAAACUUCAACAGGUUGCCCCCUUAAGUUUGCUUUGAGUGGUGACCUAUUGUAACAGGACUUUGUUGGAUGUUAUGGUCAUGACUGUUGCACCAUUAGACUCGAGCUGCAGAUAGCUUGCAAGUGAAUGACUUUUGCAGGCAAGGUAAUGUCAAUGCUUAUUGCUGCAGAUGAUUACUGUUGAUGAUGAUGACCUGGUAUGCCAAUGCACUCCAUGCUGGUUUAUGUGUUCAUCAAUGCUAUCUUUGUCAUGCUGCCCACUAUGUUGUUGUUUGCAGGUCUAGUAUUUGCUUUGCACCUUGGUGUCAUGGUGUAGCAUUCAUUGUGGAUAACCCUCCAUUUUGAACUCAAUAUGGUGUCACACCUUGAUGUUGGUAAGGAUUCUGUUAGGUUCAAAUGUUUCAAUGUUGGAGUGGUUUUGGUUGUGUAUGCUACAACUAGAUGUGACUUGCAUAUGGUUUUGAUUUGUGUCAUACUUUGGCUAGGUCUGAGCAAGCUGCUGACUUGACUCAAUGUUUUUAUGGUGCAAACUGUUAUGCACUUUGCACGUAUUGUUCUGUCUUGCAGCAGGGUGGCCAUUUCCAUUCUUAAUUUGGUUCAGUGUUGGCUUAGGCAAUGCUGUAAUUUGCAGGUUCAUAAGGUGCAGAACAACACAUAAAAUGACAUUGAUGUAGUACAAAUCAUGAUUGGAGCCAUGUUGAGGUACAUCUCAAGGAUUAUGGUGUAUAGUUGAUUCAACCUUGGCUUGUGCAUGAUGGCAUGGUAGAGAGAAUAUUGAUAUUAUUGACUUGUGAGCAUGUUCAGUUAGGUCUCAAUGUUGCUGAACUCCCAAGAUUUUAUAGCAGUGUUUACAUGUUGACUGUGUUGUAGCCUUGCAUAGCAAAAUGUACCACAGGUCUGAUAUCUUGGUUUGCCUUGGAAAUGGUCUUGUUGGUACAGUUGCCUGCAAUGCAUUCUGCAGGUCCGAGCUUGUGUCACGGGGGCCUGUUGACCAAUGUGUGGAUGGUUGUGCAGCAUUGCAUCUUGGUAGCAUGUAGUUGUCUUGGCUAUCUCCCAACUUAUUGCAUUAUAGCCUUGCAAUUUUUGAUUUUUGUGGGCUACUACCGGAUGAUGACAGGGUGCAAGUGUAAGGUGUAUCAUGGUGAGUUCAAAGCCAACUUCAUACGCAUUGCUUUGUCAAAUUAACCAAGCAUGUACCAUAUUUGAUCAUGUGUUUAGGAUGUUUGGUCUUGUGGUGAAUGCAAGGCCCGUGCAGUAGGGUGAAAGUUGGUUGUUAAGGCAAAUAAAUCCAAGUGUUCAAGUUAUGACCAAGUUCAAAACAUGUUGGCAUCAAAGUGAAGAAUCAAGUUCAAAUGGUUAAAUCAAGAUCAACAUGGACAUGGAGAAUGAAAUGAGAGUUAGGACUAGUCAUUUAGUGAUCAGGGAUGACCAAGGACCAUAGGUUGACUUUGGUCAAAGUUGACCAAAAAGUCAACAAUUCAUUUUUCCUUGUAUUUUUCAAUGGAUUGAUGAUCAUGGUGAAAUUUAGGAUAUUAGGGUCUUGGGUUGACUUUGGUCAAAGUUGACCAAAAAGUCAAUUGUUGACCAAAGUCAACUAUUGGUCAAGAUGUCAAAUUUUGUAUUUUCUUGUGUGGAAUCACAUGUAAUGGUUUAAAAUGACAUGGAAUAGAUUGAA